AAACCACAAGGGGAGCCGAAGCUCCCCAAGAAGUAGUUGCAUGCUCUAUUUUUAUUUUUGGUUUCGGGCUUCUUGUUUUUGUUGAGUGCCCUCGCCAUGAAGUUUUCCUUCAUGACCCUCCCAAUCGGGAGCCAAGAGCAAACGGAUUGCUUUGGUCGCUGAAUUGCAGUGAUCUUUCGAUCCAACCAGUACAGGCUCUGUCUUAUGACAGUU
rnacentral:sRNA from 3 species